GAAGCUCUUGGUGGCCCUCAGUGGCUCCCAGUGGCCCCCUGUAGCUCUCAGUGGCUCUCACUGACCUUCAGUUGCUCUCAGUGACUCUCAGUGGCCCCCAGUAGCUCUCAGUGACUCCCAGUGGCUCUCAAUUGCUCUCAGUGGCUCCCGGUGGCUCUUGGUGGCUCUCAGUUACUCUCAGUGGCUCCUAAUGGCCCCCCAUAGCUCUCGGUGGCUCCCAAUGGCUCUCAGUGACUCUCAGUGGCUCUCAAUUGCUCU
ensembl:lncRNA